UGACGUGGACGCUAGCCUCAAAGAUUAAGCCAUGCAAGCCAGCGAAGGUAACGGAGCGGCAUACGGCUCGGUAGGACAGGGAAAUCUGGCCACUAUGGAGGAUAACCACGGUAACCUGUGGCUAAGACGAGAGUGGGUGAGUCCCUGGCCUAUCAGCUUGACGGUACGGUAAGGGCGUACCGAGGCGACGACGGGUAACGGAGAAUCGGGGUUUGAUUCCGGAGAGGAAGCCUGAGAAAUGGCUACCACGUCCAAGGACGGCAGCAGGCGCGGAAAUUACCCACUUGGAGGACCAGAGGUAGUUAUGAGGCGUGUAAAUGAGGUUAGAGCAAAAGCCUAACCGAAAGCUACUGGAGGGCAAGUCUGGUGCCAGCAGCCGCGGUAAUUCCAGCUCCAGAAGCGUCUGUGUGUGUUGCUGCGGUUAAAACGUGCGUAGUCGGGUUGUUCGCCAGCAGAAAAAGCAUGGACUCAAGCUGUGCAUUGUGCAGGGACGUAGACCUAGGGACCGGAGCGGGGCAACGUUAUUCGACAGCGAGGGGUGAAAACCGAUGACCUGACGAGGAGCAACAGAAGCGUAGGCGGUUGUCCGAGACGGGUCCGACGAUCAAGCGCGUAGGCAGGAGGAUCAAAGACGAUUAGAGACCGUUGUAGUUCCG
rnacentral:rRNA from 1 species